UGGCGCCCUUCUGCUGGUGAUGUUUCCGGAGAGGGACAGAGACCAGCAGGCAUAGUGCUGGGCACAGACCUCCUUUCCCCCUCACAGCGGCUGCCAGAGGCACGGAUCACUCUUGCCGUUACCCAGAGGAGCAAAGCUGAGGCUCAGAGAGGGCACCGUCAUGCGCCGUUGCAGCCUGCUUCUAUUUGUCCGUGAGCAACGGAGGACAGUACCUGUCUCUUGUCUCUGAUUGUCCAGCUCCUUACAAGCCCGGCACACGCUAUGUGCUAGGUAUAUGACCUGAAAGACAUCCUUCAAAGGGAAUUGAUUCCACAAAAGAUGGAGGGUCGGGGGGAGGGAAGGGAAGGGAAGUCCGUUUAAUGAAGGGAAGGAAAAUGACAGGCAGAAGCUGUGUUUCCAUCCCCAGGCUUUUUAAUGCUAGAUUUUUGGGGCAUCGGAGGAAAUAGGAAGGCUCUUCCCAGUCACCGCCCAUUGGCUAAGAGUGGUUAGGUCCUCAGAGGCACCUUAGGCAGGUCAUACCUCCCUGCUUUAGGUUCCUCAACUGAAUAACGAAGAAGACAGUCCAUUUUUGUAAAGCCUCUGCUCGCGUGCCCUCUGCCUCACCAGUACGGUGGGGUUAUUUCAGAACACGUGUCCUGCUAUGACCUCUCCCCACCCACUUCCUGUCCGAAUCUCCAUCGGCUCAUUUCCAGAUCAGCUGGGUUUUUUGUGACACGGCAACGGUGAGACGGGUAGAGAAAAAACAGACCCAAGGGAAAGUGGCAACGGUGGAGAAAGAGAGAGACGAAAACAGCACCCAAGGGGUACUCAGGAGAGCUCCACUGACACUGUGCAUUGUGGGAAAAUUACAGAAUGGACGAAAAGGGUCUGGGGUGUACCACCACCAACUACAAAUGGUCCCCUUUGCCAUUUUAUGGGGGGAUGCAGUUAGAGCUGGAAAGCCUAUUUCAAUGACUUUUGGGCUGUCGGACUAUUUCUUUAAAACGAGACUCUAAGCAGAGACUGAGCCACAUGUGACCAUGGCUUUGGUCAGGGUUACACAUGAUCUUCUUUUGGCUCUCACACACCCUGUGAUUCAGGUAUGAGGACCUUCAGGCCCAGAGAGCUUAAGCAACUCACACGAGUUGACCCGGCGGAAGGCCAAUCAGGGGUUCCUGCCGAGGGGUAACCCUCAAGGCUGAGCUUUUCGAAGCCCACUCUGCUCAUUUUGGCCAACUCCCCUCGUGCAGUCUGACCUCUAAGGGCAGACAGGCACUGCGCUCUCUGCUCCCACAGCUCACACCCCCCUCUGACCGAGCCGUCCCUUACAUCUGAUCCCAAAGGCUGCAUCUGAGCGGUCCCCGAGCAAAUCUUCUGCAUUAAGCUUUUGGCACCCAGCCCAGCCCAGGCAAAUCUGAGGGGCACCGAAUCAGUCGAUAGGUGGCCAUCAGCUAAAAGCAGCUUCUGGCCAGCAGCCUGUGCGGGUGAUGCACCAGACGGACAGGUUAAGCGGCAUCACCGGAGUCCACUGAGAAUGGGGCGAGGUCAGAGCCCUGCACUGGGAAAGGAAUUCGUCUUUUUAAAGCUGAGAAUGAUCCUGAUGUAAUGUACACCCCAGGUGGACCUCGCCUUACACAAUGGACACAUUCCCCAGUGGGGUGGGGAAUUAUGACUGUCAGGACUAAACCACAUUGUUGCUUAUGUGAACGGUGACCCCCUAGGGUUGUGCAGUGUGAGACCUGGUUGGCUGCACAUAAUUGCAGCCCUCAAGGGAAGAUUCCCCCCACUUUCGACCUGGCAACCCUGCUUUUCCUGUAGGGUUCUACAUAACAUUUUCUUUGCAACACGAGUUCCACUGCUAAGAAAAAAUGUCUGAAAACCAUUGUUCUAUGGAGAAAUCAAGUAAACUAAAAAACACAAUUAUU